rnacentral:tRNA from 1 species
GGCUCUGUAGCUCAGUUGGUAGAGCAGAGGACUGAAAAUCCUUGUGUCGGCGGUUCAAUUCCGUCCGGAGCCA